GCCUCCGUGGUCUAGUGUUCUACGACGCUGCCUUGACACGGCAGAGGUCGGGGGUCAGAAUCCUCCCGGAGGCACCA
rnacentral:tRNA from 1 species